rnacentral:misc_RNA from 1 species
GAUGAAGAACGUAGCGAAAUGCGAUAAGUAGUGUGAAUUGCAGAAUUCAGUGAAUCAUCGAAUCUUUGAACGCACAUUGCGCCCUUUGGUAUUCCUUAGGGCAUGCCUGUUCGAGCGUCAUUUAAACCUUCAAGCUCAGCUUGGUGUUGGGUGACUGUCCGCUUCACCGCGGACUCGCCUCAAAAUUAUUGGCGGCCGGUACAUUGGCUUCGAGCGCAGCAGAAACGCGAACUCGGGCCCGUCGUAUUGACUCCCAGAAGCUAUCUUCACAAUUUUGACCUCGGAUCAGGUAGGGAUACCCGCUGAACUUAAGCAUAUCAAUAAGCGGAGGA